rnacentral:rRNA from 1 species
CAGCAGCCGCGGGAACACGGAGGAUCCAAGCGUUAUCCGGAUUUAUUGGGUUUAAAGGGUGCGUAGGCGGCUUAUUAAGUCAGGGGCGAAAGGCGGUCGCUUAACUAUCGGAGUGCCCUUGAUACUGAUGAGCUUGAAUGCAGCUGAGGUAGGCGGAAUGUGACAAGUAGCGGUGAAAUGCAUAGAUAUGUCACAGAACACCGAUUGCGAAGGCAGCUUACUAAAGUGCGAUUGACGCUGAGGCACGAAAGCGUGGGGAUCAAACAGGAUUAGAUACCCGCGUAGUCCCUGUCUCUUAUAC